rnacentral:rRNA from 1 species
AUGGCGGCUCUGCGGCGGCUGCGUGGCGGCGUGGUGCGGGGCGGCGGCGGCCAGGCCCAGCAAGCAGGCGGCGGCGUACGGAGGGAUGUCCAGCGGCGGCGGCGGCCGGUCUGGGCUCAGAUGGGCUUCGGCGGGCCGUGCAUGCUGCUGGCUUGUCUUCCAUGCUCCGUCAAUGGUAAACUGCUCCUGGGCUCGACCCGCAACACAAGGACGUCGGGGGCUCCGGCCCUCGGCGUGGCGGUGGUGGCUACUUCCUUCGCCGGAGGUGGUCGGCCAGCUGGUUGUGGCAUCACACAUCCAGUCCUAGCGCUGAGUGGGAGACGAUGCUGCCGGUGA